UACAGAGGUCUCAAGCGUUGUUCGGAUUCAUUGGGCGUAAAGGGUGCGCAGGCGGGCCAUUAAGUCAGGGGUGAAAGACGGUUGCUCAACAAUCGCAGUGCCUUUGAUACUGGUGGUCUUGGGUAACCUUGAGGUAGGCGGAAUGGGUGGUGUAGCGGUGAAAUGCAUAGAUACCACCCAGAACUCCGAUUGCGAAGGCAGCCUACUGGAGGUUCACCGACGCUCAGGCACGAAAGCGUGGGGAUCAAACAGG
rnacentral:rRNA from 1 species